rnacentral:rRNA from 1 species
CCAAUAGCGUAUAUUAAAGUUGUUGCAGUUAAAAAGCUCGUAGUUGAAUUUCGGGACCAGUAUGUCGGUCGUGCUUCGGUACGUACUUGCAUUAUUGGUUUCUCCCUUCUGAAGAACCAUGAUUUCAUUAAUCUGGUGUCAUGGGGAAUCAGGACUGUUACUUUGAGAAAAUUAGAGUGUUUAAAGCAGGCUCGCGCUUGAAUACAUUAGCAUGGAAUAAUGAAAUAGGACGUUUGAUUCUAUUUUGUUGGUUUCUAGGAUCGACGUAAUGAUUAAUAGGGAUAGUUGGGGGCAUUAGUAUUCAAUUGUCAGAGGUGAAAUUCUUGGAUUUAUUGAAGACUAACUACUGCGAAAGCAUUUGCCAAGGAUGUUUUCAUUAAUCAAGAACGAAAGUUAGGGGAUCGAAGACGAUCAGAUACCGUCGUAGUCUUAACCAUAAACUAUGCCGACUAGGGAUCGGAUGAUGUUAAUUUUUUAAUGACUCAUUCGGCGCCUUACG